rnacentral:rRNA from 1 species
AGUGAACGCUGGCGGCGUGCUUAACACAUGCAAGUCGAACGAGAACGGAAUAUAGCUUGCUAUAUUUGUCAGCUAAGUGGCGCACGGGUGAGUAAUGUAUAGAUAACCUGCCCUUAAGAAAGGAAUAACAGUUGGAAACGACUGCUAAUGCCCUAUAUGCCUUUAAUACAUAAGUAUGCAAGGGAAACGCUUUAGUGCUUAGGGAUGGGUCUGUAUGGUAUCAGCUUGUUGGUGAGGUAAUGGCUCACCAAGGCUAUGACGCCUAACUGGUUUGAGAGGAUGAUCAGUCACACUGGAACUGAGACACGGUCCAGGCUCCUACGGGAGGCAGCAGUGGGGAAUAUUGCACAAUGGACGAAAGUCUGAUGCAGCAACGCCGCAUGGAGGAUGACACAUUUCGGUGCGUAAACUCCUUUUAUAUAGGAAGAUAAUGACGGUACUAUAUGAAUAAGCACCGGCUAACUCCGUGCCAGCCGCCGCCGUAA